CCCAGACAGCCAGGAUGUUGGCUUAGAAGCAGCCAUCAUUUAAAGAAAGCGUAAUAGCUCACUGGUCGAGUCGGCCUGCGCGGAAGAUGUAACGGGGCUAAACCAUGCACCGAAGCUGCGGCAGCGACACUCAGGUGUUGUUGGGUAGGGGAGCGUUCUGUAAGCCUGUGAAGGUGUGUCGUGAGGCAUGCUGGAGGUAUCAGAAGUGCGAAUGCUGACAUAAGUAACGAUAAAGCGGGUGAAAAGCCCGCUCGCCGGAAGACCAA
rnacentral:rRNA from 3 species